CCUACGGGUGGCAGCAGUGAGGAAUAUUGGGCAAUGGGCGGGAGCCUGAACCAGCCAAGCCGCGUGAGGGAAGAAGGUACAGCGUAUCGUAAACCUCUUUUGUCAGGGAACAAAGGCGGGGACUAGUUCCCGGAUGAGUGUACCUGAAGAAAAAGCAUCGGCUAACUCCGUGCCAGCAGCCGCGGUAAUACGGAGGAUUCAAUCGUUAUCCGGAUUUAUUGGGUUUAAAGGGUGCGUAGGCGGGUCGGUAAGUUAGUGGUGAAAGCCCGGGGCUCAACUCCGGCACUGCCUCUGAUACUGUCGGGCUAGAGUUUAGUUGCGGUAGGCGGAAUGUAUGGUGUAGCGGUGAAAUGCAUAGAGAUCAUACAGAACACCGAUUGCGAAGGCAGCUUACCAAACUACGACUGACGUUGAGGCACGAAAGCGUGGGGAGCAAACAGGAUUAGAUACCCGAGUAGUC
rnacentral:rRNA from 1 species